UAUCUAUCGUUUAGAAAGUUUUUGUAUAUUGUAUCCUACGGUUCCCGAUCAAUUUCGUUCUCCAUCCUCGAUAAACCUCGAUUUCCGUCUCUGAUCAAUCUCUCUCCGAUCACACCGUUUCCGAUCGAUCUCGUUCCCUUCCACGAUCAACCUUUUUCUCCGUCUCCGAUCAACCUUUUUCUCCGUCUCCGAUCAACCUCGUCUUCCCUCUUCGAUUUACCUUGUUCUCCUCCAUCACAAAUCGAUCUUGUCUUGCACAUUCUUUGAUUGAUUUCAUCUACUUCCUCAUCCUCUCUUUAUCUGAUAGAUCUACCUUUUUCCUCAUCCCAAUCUUUGGUAAUGGCUGGAUGUGCUUCUUUGAAAAUGAAGAUAGAGGUACGCGUUCCGUUUUAUAUUUAAAGAUCUCACUUGACUAGUGUUGUUGCAUUUACUACUGUAAAUGAAGCUUCUAUAUAGAUAUUAGAAAGGCAUUGGUUUAGUUCAAAUAUAUGAUGACCUCUAUUAAAAAGGAUAUAAAUGAACUAUUAGAGUUUGGUGAUUUUUUCUACUAAUCACCUUAAACACUAUUGAGAGGAUGAAGUUUAAAUUGUAUAGUGUUAAAAUCUGAAAUAGAGUAUGAUCAAUGCGGUACCUACUUAGAGGAUGAAGUUUGAAUUGUUUUGUGUUAGAAUCUUAAAUAGAAGAUGAUGAACUUGGUUCCUACUUAGAGGAUGAAGUUUGAAUUGUUUAGUGUUAGGAUCUUAAAUAGAAGAUGAUCAAUGCGGUACCUACUGCUAUAUCAAAUUAGUAUGCAAGUUUAAAAUAUAAUCAAAUCAUACUAAACGACAUGUCAUCAGAGUUGUAAACUUAUAAUAGUAGUUCUAAUUAUAAUUUCCUUUUUUGAAUGUGUAUGCUAAUCAGUUUAGUUUUUUUUAGUGAAUAUCAGUUGAAUGCUUACUCUCACACAGCUCUCUACCACUUUACUUUUUUCCGCCGUUUCCUAUAAGUUGAGUUUUUGCAAAAUAAAGUAAAAACACUCUAGUCAGCAUGGAGGUUCUUGAAGUAGCUUUGUUAUUAUGUUUUGUUUAUUGAUAAAAUCUACGAAAUAAAGAUUCUAAUAAAAAUCAAGAUGGACAUCAUAUAAUAAGAUACAUAGUUAGUUAAUUGAAACUACUAUCUUUUCAAUUAUAAUUUGUUUCUUCAUAAACUCUGUUGUGAGUUAAUGAGUGAUUGUUUGAACAUCUCUACUGAGACUUUUUAUGUCUCUUGUUUCUGAAAAAUUUGCCUUUGUUCUUUGCUGCAUAUAAAGGCUGGGAGUUAGAUACAUCAUCAAUAACUUUAAUUGUUGGAUAUAUGAAAAAGAUUAUGAAGGUACAAUUUAGUCCAUUGCAUUAUAUAAAUGUAUUAGAGCAGGUCCUUAGUCUACAAUUGCACUUUAUCAUUUUUUUAAUAAUUUAUUCUAUUGUAUUAUCAAAUUAUUCCACUACAUUAUCAAAAUUUCAAAUUUAUGAUUGUUGUCAACUAGAAAUUAUAAAUAUUUGUUGCUCUGGUUAUACAGAACUAAGUAUUUUCCAUGGAAGAUCAAACAUGUUCCUGGUAAUAUUUGCAUACAUAUAUAUAAGCAAAUUCGUAAACGACCCAAAUUAUUGGUAACCUAAAAUUGUUUUACCAGGUAAAGCUGGUGGGUUGGCGCACACAGAUAAUCUAGUGCCUGUUGUACACGUUGGUCUCCUUGGAUUGCUUCUGUUCUAGAUAUUAUGAAGGAGAUUUUUUGUUUUUAGCCCGAGGCUUGUAAGUUGUGCGACUCGUCAAAUACCAGCCCUUUAUAUUCUGCUCUGGAUAUAUGGUUGCAUGAUUGCAAAUAUUGAUGGAGUAGCUACUACAUUUGCUGCAGGAGUAUAAAUGACAAGGUACACAUGACCUUUUUCUUCUUUUGGUACAUUUCAUUUUGAACUUUAGUUAAAUCAUUACUGAAUUUGAAAGUUUGUUAUCAGUAACUACUCAUCUUUGAAACAAAAGUUAUUUCAUGGGACUAGUGUACAUGAAAAAAAAGUAAGGAAAUGAACAAAAUGGCUACUUUAAGUGCAAAAGAAGUGGCUGAGUACAAGUAAGGCUUCACUUAAAGUAGUGGUAUGCAAAAAUAAUUAUAGAGCAUAUGAAGCUUGUGUAGAAAAGGAUGGGAAUGUGAUUUUAUGACUUAUGUUUCUUAUUAAAAGCUCGUUUGCAAAUUUCUUUUACGUAGAAGUGUUGCCCAUCAUUGUUCAUGCAGUGUUAGUAAAAUAUCUGAAACAUAUUUUUGUACCAGCUUCAAAGAUUUUUGUUUAAUAUAUCUAAUUUUGUCUAAUUUUGUUAUUGUGUCUUUUAAAUUCCUAUUGUUGUUUGUUAUGUAGCAGGUUUUAAAUGUUUUAUUAUACGAAGAAAUCAAGUUUGGAACCGUCUGAUAUUCGAUUUGAUGAGCACGCAUCGAAGGUUGCAUUUCCGCAUGGUAUGAUGAUACCACCUAAUUCUUUUAAUACAAUGUACCAUUCUCUUGCGUUUUGGGCUUUGAUGCUUCUGGUGUCGGUUAGCAGGAUGGCUUCUAAUGUUUUUAGAGGUUAUUGGCGACAUAGGCUUAUUUGAGAAGUUGGGGUUAUGUUGCCGUCUAUCCUCCUAUUGUCUAUAGGUAUGGCAGAGUUUAGGCUUAUCCCUUUUCGAAGAAAGAUCUUCACGUGAGUGUCGGUAUCCUCCUAUUGUCUAUAGGUAUGGCAGAGUUUAGGCUUAUCCCUUUUCGGAGAAAGAUCUUCACGUGAACGUCGGUCGUUUAAUCAAGUAUUUGGUUUUGUGGAUAUUAAAUAAGCAUAGAUUGUUUGAAUAUUUUUUGAGAUGGGAUAAAUAUAUAUAUAUAUAUAUAUAUAUAUAUAUAUAUAUAUAUAUAUAUAUAUGUUAGAAUUGAUUAAUAUUAUAGGUCUAAUAUAAAAUUGUUUUUUGGUUAUUUUAUUAAUAUGAAAUUGCUAGUAAGUAUUGUUUUAAAUAUUCUAGUAAUUAAGUAUAACUUUAAAUGAAAAAAUAUUAGUAAUAUUUUUAUAAUUUAUAGCUUAUUUGGUUUUUUAUUAGAAAACUGAAAUUUGUUUUUGCUUAUUUUAUAAAUAUGAAACUGCU